AACCUCUCAGGGUCAUACCUGGAGAGUUUCCAGUCCUCUACCAGUCUCGGCUAUGGGAAGGAGAGUCAAGCAGAGGCCUGUCUGUUCCAUUCCUAGCUUGGCCAGUGACUAGUGAGUGGAAGGCAAUCUGCCACGAGU